CUUCGUCAAUUUCUUUCAUAUCGAUACAAACAAGUAAUUGAUAUACAUGUUCAGUCCGUUUGUGGGCAAUUUCAAUUUACUUCCGCGUUCAGCCUUAAGUUCAUUUUGUAAUUCAAGUUCAAUAUGGUGUAACGAUAAAACAUGGAGUACAUGCCAGCAACUAUAUAAAGUAAAUUUUAGGUGUUCGAAGAUGAAAAAUUAUAUUAUACAACCAGAAACUAUAUAAUCUGAGACAUAGAUAAAAAAAAUAUCACGGUUGUUAGAUCUACCCAGCGGGUUCCGCGUGUUACUUACACUAUGGAAACGAAAAGCAAGAAUUAUAUACUAAACGCCGCGGGUUCAAAUCCAGCACCAGCGUUGUAUAAACAAAAAGACCAAAACCAACGGUUAAAACCACCCCCGGGGGAUGAUGUUCCUCCGCCACUCCCAUCUAGGAGAGGAAGUAACGUGGAGUUACCUCCUUCUAAACCACAGACUUCUUUAUUGGAGGUGCCACCACCCCUACCUACACGAAAACACAGUACACAUAAUCAACCAAAUUUUAGACAUGCUACAGACACACGAAAGCAAGGAGAAAACCCACCCCCGUUACCAACGAGAAACAGGUCGUCAUGGAAACCAUCAAAUGAUGUGUUUGAAGAAAGAUUUAAAUUCCAUAAACUUAGUGAAUUACCCGAGCCGACUCCUAUCACUCUCCUGAAGAAACAGUAUCCCUCUGCUCAUACCAAGUCAAGUCCUAAACAAAAACCGCCCCCGCCGCCAGAUGAUUCGACAGAAAAAAUGAGACGUAUUUCAUCAGAUAACACGGAAGAAAAUGAUUAUAUGUAGGAUAAAGGAUUUUUUUCUUUUCUAAAAUUAAAUUGAUUGUUAGUGAACGCGUAGCACAUCCAGUUGUAUCCAAGUUAAUAUUUAAUUCUCUUGGUUUUAAUUUAAUGACUAUUCGAAAUCAAUCUUUCAGAAAGUAAGACAUUCUUGGACUUUUCGUUCCGUCAUUUUGUUGACGUUUCUACCAGAAAUUGUUACUGUAGGAUGUGAAUGUGAUGUGACUGACUAGCAAUCUGCGAAAAAACAAUUCCGUGACAAUCGAGGGUUCUCGACCAUUACGGCCACUUUAAUGAAGACCCCGGCUUUUGUGUUGGUUCGUCCGUGAUGGUACAACUUCAAUACUAUUGAAAGAUUUAAAUAAUUUCAUUGUCUUUAGCUGGCGAUGGCUGUGAAAUCCGUUUUGUGACAUUCAGGAAUUCUUGGUCAUCUGUCUUUAUCAUAAUAAUAAAUGUUUAUUAAUAAGGCACAAGAAUCCAUAAAUCUUGCUCAACAAAUAAACAAUUUCUUUUAAACCUAACCGAAACAGCUAUUUCUUUAGGUCAUAUUUGAAUGGAUUUGCUGUAGAAUUGAAUAGAAGUUCAUCUGAUGUUCUCUACCCAUUUUUUUUUAUUCGAAUCUAACGAAUGACGCGGAUUGAUACGAAUGUUGUUUAGGGUGUCUAAUCGUCGGAAUAUUAAAAUGUGGUAUGUUAUAGCAGUAUACACAAUCGUGAGGUAAUGGGGUUAUGAUUAAAACUAAAUAAUUGGGAUAAUCUUGUUACACCAACGGAUAUAUACAUCAAGACUGUGAUGCUGUGUAUUAUCAAACUAGCAGAAUGGGACAAGGAGCAGGUCGGAUACAGAAGGAAAUGAAACUGGUGUGAAGUUUUAUGGCCUAUAUAGAUAAUAAACUUAAUUGAUCGAGGUUUAUCCUUUCCUAAAGACCAGAGAGAAGGGGCAAAAUAAGAAUUUCUUUGCAAGUUUCCAUUAUGAUUAACAUUAUGGCGUGAUCUGCAGUAAUAACAACAGAUUUAAGGACUUAUUGUGUAAGGCAUACCAAAUCAACUAACCCAAUGGACAGUAAAACCAGUAGACACUCUGCUGUUUAAAUUUAUUUUAUUUUACUUUACAUGGUAAAUGUUUUUUUUAAACAAAUGUAAUUGAAGUGAAUAUGACUAUUGUACACCUAUGCUAGAUUAAGCGGUGGGAUGGAGUGGGGGGGGGGGGGGGUUAUAGGAAUAUCCAUUAGGAUGGCAUAACAUUUACACUCUUAAGAGUUUAUAAAAUUAUUUAUUAGUUAUUAUUAUAUGUAGCUUUUUUGUUAAUCCGCUGAGAGGGAUUGUUUAUUUAUUUUACGCUUUGCUGGACAGUAUAGGCUGGAUUAUAAUAAUGUGAAUGCAAUUUUCUUUUAAUUGAUUGAUUGAGAUUAUUAUUACUGGAGAUUAUUGACUGUAACAUUAGAAAGCGAGUGUGGUAAUUUGUACAAUACUGUAGAAAUUAUUGUACUAAAUACCAGACCAAUAGCAAAAUAAAGAAUCGGAAGUUCCACAAGUUAAUCCGCAUUCUCGUCAAACAUAACACCCUUCAAAAUAAUAAACUAUUGGUUAUACGUCGUAGUUAGUUGAAAGGCUAAAACCUUUCAUUCAUAAUAUGACAAUGGUAAUGGCGGAGAAGUUAUCUAAUUAGAUUCGAACAUCAAAGAAGUCACCCAAUCCUAAGUUAAGAAAAGGUUUAAGUAGAUAGCUUGCGGAAUAAUUUUAAUACCCAUUUAUGUUACCAACGCCCUGCAGGUCGCAUUAAUUGCAUGGCGCAUUAAUUUCUUUUCUUAUGUGUCAUUGUUAUUUAACGAACUUACUGGACUUACAAUACAUUAUCACGGUCACCAAGAAUAUGAAUUAAGUUUGGAAAACUCAUUAAUUAAAGGAGCUAAAUCGCUAAUAUUUGGGAUCUAGAAAUUGACCCAAAUGGGUCGCAACGCAUAUAAUAAUGUAAUCUGGUUGUAUAUAAACUGAUUUACAUUCAA